CAUUACCUAGAGUUUGUAGACUUCGGUCUGCUACCUCUUACCCAUGUCUUUUGAGUACCUUCGUUUCCUCGGCGGGUCCGCCCGCCGAUUGGACAACAUUCAAACCCUUUGCAGUUGCAAUCAGCGUCUGAAAAAACAUAAUAGUUACAACUUUCAACAACGGAUCUCUUGGUUCUGGCAUCGAUGAAGAACGCAGCGAAAUGCGAUAAGUAGUGUGAAUUGCAGAAUUCAGUGAAUCAUCGAAUCUUUGAACGCACAUUGCGCCCCUUGGUAUUCCAUGGGGCAUGCCUGUUCGAGCGUCAUUUGUACCUUCAAGCUCUGCUUGGUGUUGGGUGUUUGUCUCGCCUCCGCGUGUAGACUCGCCUUAAAACAAUUGGCAGCCGGCGUGUUGAUUUCGGAGCGCAGUACAUCUCGCGCUUUGCACUCAUAACGACGACGUCCAAAAGUACAUUUUUACACUCUUGACCUCGGAUCAGGUAGGGAUACCCGCUGAACUUAAGCAUAUCAAUAGCC
rnacentral:rRNA from 1 species